rnacentral:tRNA from 1 species
UGGGGAAUAGACUAACGGCAGGUCACUGCUCUCUGGAAGCAGUCGUCUAGGUUCGAAUCCUAGUUCCCCAG